rnacentral:lncRNA from 1 species
CCUAAUUCUAAACUCUGAUACCAACUUAAUCUGUCACGCCCCUGAUUACUCGUUUUUCCGGGUACGCCGAGAAAUUCGCCGUAUACAAAAAAAAAUUUCCUGUAUACGAAGCGAUAGCUGUACCUGUAAUCAUACAAUACUACAAUCAGUAGUAUAGAGCUGCUAAAAGAAAAGAGAUAUAUAUAAACAACAGGGAUUAACUAUACAUACAAGCAUCCAGGACACCAAAAUACUCGCUCCAGUGAGAUACAAUAUCAGUAUGUAUACUAACCCAAAAACUACAACUAUCUGUAGCUGGUACUCCUCUAGCUCUGCAACUCGUCAAGAAGGGCUCUAACUCACAACACCCUUUCCACGAUCAGACUC